rnacentral:lncRNA from 1 species
AACUUCUUAUGAUGGCAUUCUAGAUUUUUUUCCUAAAGUCGUAAAAUGCUCCAAGAAUCUGCAAUUGACUUAUCGUACGAGGGAUGUUGAAACUCCCUGGAUCUAGUAACCUUGGUGGAAGCUUCUAAUGUAUAAUUGUACUUGUCUCGUUGUUCAAAAGUUCCUUAGAUAUGGUAAUGAUAUAGGAAUUGCAAUUUCUUUUUCUUUGUUUUUUUCUCCACCACUCAUUGUUUUCUCUCUCUACAAUCUUUUUUUUACUUCAUCAUGUUUUUCACUAUGCUCACCAUAUUUUCUCUUUCUCUUUCUUCACAGCUAUUUCCAUCUCGCUUUUUCGGUAAUGUUUUGGUUUUAACACCUUAGAAAACAUAUUCCAUCUUACAGUUAAAGCAUAUCAUCUUUGGAUUUUCUACUAUAUUACCAUCAUAGUUUCUAUUAGAUUUGGCUUCCAACUAUUGUGAGAG